CUACGGGAGGCACCAGUGAGGAAUAUUGCACAAUGGGGGGAACCCUGAUGCAGCAACGCCGCGUGGAGGAUGACGCAUUUCGGUGUGUAAACUCCUUUUAUAUGUCAAGAAAAUGACGGUAGCAUAUGAAUAAGCACCGGCUAACUCCGUGCCAGCAGCCGCGGUGAAUACGGAGGGUGCAAGCGUUACUCGGAAUCACUGGGCGUAGAGGACGCGUAGGCGGGUUGGAAAGUCAGGUGUGAAAUCCUACAGCUUAACUGUAGAACUGCAUUUGAAACUUCUAAUCUAGAGUAUGGGAGGGGGAGAUGGAAUUAGUGGUGUAGGGGUAAAAUCCGUAGAUAUCACUAGGAAUACCUAAAGCGAAGGCGAUCUCCUGGAACAUUACUGACGCUAAGGCGUGAAAGCGUGGGGAGCAAACAGGAUUAGAUACCCGUGUAGUC
rnacentral:rRNA from 1 species